CGGCACGGGUGAGUAACAACGUGAAUGAUCUACCUCCCGAGUGGGGAAGUAAACCUAGAGAAAUCUGGGCUAAUACCGCAUAACACUUACGAGUCAAAGCAGCAAUGCGCUUGGAGAGGAGUUCGCGGCCGAUUAGUUAGUUGGCGGGGUAAUGGCCCACCAAGACGAUGAUCGGUAUCCGGCCUGAGAGGGCGCACGGACACACUGGAACUGAAACACGGUCCAG
rnacentral:rRNA from 1 species